AUUAUUUUGGCAGAAUAGUGCAAUAGAUUUAGAAUCUUUUUAUGUAAAUAUUUAUUUACAAAUAAUA
rnacentral:tRNA from 1 species